UACGUAGGGCGCAAGCGUUGUCCGGAAUUACUGGGCGUAAAGCGCGCGUAGGCGGUUUUGCAAGUCGGGUGUGAAAUCCCCAGGCUUAACCUGGGAACUGCAUUCGAGACUGCAUUACUAGAGUAUGGGAGAGGGAAGUGGAAUUUCCGGUGUAGCGGUGAAAUGCGUAGAUAUCGGAAGGAACAUCAGUGGCGAAAGCGACUUCCUGGACCAAUACUGACGCUCAUGUGCGAAAGCGUGGGGAGCAAACAGG
rnacentral:rRNA from 1 species